rnacentral:rRNA from 1 species
ACGGCUCAGUAACACGUGGUCAACAUACCCAGAGGACGUGGAUAACCUCGGGAAACUGAGGAUAAACCGCGAUAGAUCAUAAUGUCUGGAUUGAUUUAUGGUUCAAAUCUAUAUGGCCUCUGGAUUGGACUGCGGCCGAUCAGGCUGUUGGUGAGGUAAUGGCCCACCAAACCUGAAACCGGUACGGGCUCUGAGAGGAGAAGCCCGGAGAUGGGCACUGAGACAAGGGCCCAGGCCCUAUGGGGCGCAGCAGGCGCGAAACCUUUGCAAUAGGCGAAAGCCUGACAAGGUUACUCUGAGUGAUCUCCGCUAAGGAAAUCUUUUGACACCUCUAAAAAUGGUGUAGAAUAAGGGGUGGGCAAGCCUGGUGUCAGCCGCCGCGGUAAUACCAGCACCCCGAGUGGUCGGGACGAUUAUUGGGCCUAAAGCAUCCGUAGCCGGUUCUUUAAGUCCUCCGUUAAAUCCACCUGCUUAACAGAUGGGCUGCGGAGGAUACUAUAGAGCUAGGAGGCGGGAGAGGCAAGCGGUACUCAGUGGGUAGGGGUAAAAUCCGUUGAUCCAUUGAAGACCACCAGUGGCGAAGGCGGCUUGCCAGAACGCGCUCGACGGUGAGGGAUGAAAGCUGGGGGAGCAAACCGGAUUAGAUACCCGGGUAGUCCCAGCUGUAAACGAUGCAGACUCGGUGAUGAACAGGCUUCGUGCCUGUUCAGUGCCGCAGGGAAGCCGUUAAGUCUGCCGCCUGGGGAGUACGGUCGCAAGACUGAAACUUAAAGGAAUUGGCGGGGGAG